UUUCCGUAGGUGAACCUGCGGAAGGAUCAUUAAAAAAUUGGACUCCAUUGGUGAGUUCAUUAAUAAUCCCUACCCUUUGUGAAUUUGUUUGUUUGAAUAAUUUUUUUUCCAAAAAAAAUUAUUGAAUGUCUUUCCUUGUUUUGGUGGAGCUUGUAAAGUGAAACCAGGCAGGGGAAUGGCAAACAAUAAUUAUUUUUUAAAAAGACCUUUUUUAAAAUUAAACUUUUUGUAUUCAUUUGUCUAAAAUUAAUUUUUAUAAUAUAAAAACAACUUUUGACAAUGGAUCUCUUGGUUCUCGCAACGAUGAAGAACGCAGCAAAAUGCGAUAAGUAGUGUGAAUUGCAGAAUACGUGAAUCAUCGAAUCUUCGAACGCAUAUUGCACUUUUUUAGUUUACUAAAAAAGUAUGUCUGUUUGAGUAUCAGUAAAAUAUUCUCAUAAAAAAUAUUGUUUUUUUAUGGUUAUGAGUGUUUUACAACGAUAACAAGUUGUUUCACUUUAAAUUCUUUGUUAUCAAAAAAAUCAUUAAAAGCUAAUUUAAAGAUUUUUUAAAAUUGGAUAAAAUUUUCCCGUAAAAAGGAAUAACCUAAACAAUUUUAAAAAAUUAAAAUUGGUUUGAUUUUUUUGAAACCCAAAGGAAAAAAAAACGAAAUUAACUUGAUCUCAAAUCAGAUAAGAGUACCCGCUGAACUUAAGCAUAUCAAUAAGCGGAGGAAAAGAAACUAACUAGGAUUCCCUCAGUAACGGCGAGUGAAGCGGGAAGAGCUCAAAUUUGAAAUCUUCAAGGUUUUACCUUGACGAAUUGUAGUUUAAAGAAGUGUUUUCUGUUGGAGUUUUGGUAAAAGUUCUUUGGAAAAGGACAUCAUAGAGGGUGAGAAUCCCGUAUUUGACCAUUAUCUCCAGCUUUGUGAUACACUUUCAAAGAGUCGGAUUGUUUGGGAAUGCAGUCCAAAAUGGGUGGUAAAUUUCAUCUAAAGCUAAAUACUGGCGAGAGACCGAUAGCGAACAAGUACCGUGAGGGAAAGAUGAAAAGAACUUUGAAAAGAGAGUUAAACAGUACGUGAAAUUGUCAAAAGGGAAGCGUUUGACACCAGUGUUGUUUUCUCGAAAAUCAAUUAAAAAAGGCCGGAUUUUGUGUUGUAUUGACUUUAUCAGCUUUCUGCACUCUUUUCUUGUCUUUUUUAAUGCACUUUUCGUUUAACAAGUCAACAUCAAUUUCUUUUGUUGUAAAAGGGUCAUUGGAAGGUGGCUUUCUUUUCGGAGAAAGUGUUUAUAGCCUUUGGCCUCUGCAAUCGGAGAGAUUGAGGUCUGCAGCGUAGAUCCUUCGGGGUUAGAUACAUUUGUGCUAAGUUAUAGCCUUUCAUAGACAACUUGUUGACUAUGAUCAGUCAUGUAGCUUACUCGCUUAUGCUAUUU
rnacentral:misc_RNA from 1 species